rnacentral:rRNA from 1 species
AUUGAACGCUGGCGGCAUGCCUUACACAUGCAAGUCGAACGGCAGCACGGGUGCUUGCACCUGGUGGCGAGUGGCGAACGGGUGAGUAAUACAUCGGAACGUACCUUAUCGUGGGGGAUAACGCAGCGAAAGCUGUGCUAAUACCGCAUACGCCCUGAGGGGGAAAGCGGGGGAUCGAAAGACCCCGCGCGAUUAGAGCGGCCGAUGCCUGAUUAGCUUGUUGGUGGGGUAAAAGCCCACCAAGGCGACGAUCAGUAGCUGGUCUGAGAGGACGAUCAGCCACGCUGGGACUGAGACACGGCCCAGACUCCUACGGGAGGCAGCAGUGGGGAAUUUUGGACAAUGGGGGCAACCCUGAUCCAGCAAUGCCGCGUGAGUGAAGAAGGCCUUCGGGUUGUAAAGCUCUUUUGUCAGGGAAGAAACACCGGCUCUAACACAGUCCGGGAAUGACGGUACCUGAAGAAUAAGCACCGGCUAACUACGUGCCAGCAGCCGCCGUAA